rnacentral:tRNA from 1 species
GCGCCUGUAGCUCAACGGAUAGAGCAAUGGCCUCCGGAGCCAUGCAUAGGAGUUCAAUUCUCCUCAGGCGCGCCA